rnacentral:rRNA from 1 species
AGGGUUGAUAGGUUAAGAGCUGAGUUAUUGGACGUUACCCACAGAAGAAGCACCGGCUAACUCCGUGCCAGCAGCCGCGGUAAUACGGAGGGUGCGAGCGUUAAUCGGAAUUACUGGGCGUAAAGCGUGCGUAGGUGGUUGAAUAAGUUAUCUGUGAAAUUCCUGGGCUUAACCUAGGGUGGUCAGAUGAUACUGUUUAACUCGAGUAUGGGAGAGGGUAGUGGAAUUUCCGGUGUAGCGGUGAAAUGCGUAGAGAUCGGAAGGAACACCAGUGGCGAAGGCGGCUACCUGGCCUAAUACUGACACUGAGGCACGAAAGCGUGGGGAGCAAACAGGAUUAGAUACCCUGGUAGUCCACGCUGUAAACGAUGUCAACUAGCUGUUGG